rnacentral:tRNA from 1 species
GCUAGGGUAGCAAAGGGAAAAUGCAGUAGAUUUAGGAUCUAUUAUCGGGAGUUUGAUUCUUCCUUCUAGCU